UAACUUAAUAAAAAUACCCUGAAGAUAUCAGAUCCCAUCUGAUGUAGGAAGCUAAGGAGGGUAAGCCUUAGUUAGUAUUUGGACAGGAGACCACCAGUGAAUACUGGGCACUGUGGGCU
rnacentral:rRNA from 1 species